UACGUAGGUGACAAGCGUUGUCCGGAUUUACUGGGCGUAAAGAGCGCGCAGGCGGUCGAUCAAGUCGAGUGUGAAAGCCCCCGGCUCAACUGGGGAGGGUCAUUCGAUACUGAUCGACUCGAAGGCAGGAGAGGGUAGUGGAAUUCCCGGUGUAGUGGUGAAAUGCGUAGAUAUCGGGAGGAACACCAGUGGCGAAGGCGACUACCUGGCCUGUUCCUGACGCUGAGGCGCGAAAGCUAGGGGAGCAAACAGG
rnacentral:rRNA from 1 species